GGUGGGCUGUUGCAAUGGUAGCAAGUAGACCUCCUAUUGCAGUAGACAAGCCGCAUCUAAGUCUAAGGUUGUGGGUUCGAGUCCCACGUCCAUCG
rfam:Drechmeria coniospora strain ARSEF 6962 chromosome 01, whole genome shotgun sequence.